rnacentral:rRNA from 1 species
AUUAAUUAAAAAAAAAAUAAUUUUAAUAUAUUAAAUUAUAUUAAAAUGAUUAAAUUAGUAAUUUAAUUUGUUUAAAAUUAUUUUGUAAAAUAAAAUAUUUUUAAGUAAUUAGGCAAAAUAAUUAUAUUCACCUGUUUAACAAAAACAUGUCUUUUUGAUUUUAAUUUAAAGUCAGUUCUGCUCAGUGAGGAAUUAAAUAGCUGCAGUAUUUUAACUGUACGAAGGUAGCAUAAUCAUUUGUCUUUUAAUUGAAGGCUAGAAUGAAUGAAUUAAUGAAAUAUAAACUGUCUCAUUUGUAUAAAAUAAAUUUAAAUUUUAAGUUAAAAUGCUUAAUUUAAUUUAAGGGACGAUAAGACCCUAUAGAAUUUUAUAUAUUAUGAAUUUUGUAAAUUUUAAUAAUAUAUUUGAUUGGGAGGAUUUUUAGAUUUAAUUAACUUUAAAGUUUUAAAAAUAUUUAUUUAUAGAAAUUAAUUGAAAUAUAUUAUAUAAUAUAAUAAAAGAAUAAAUUACCUUAGGGAUAACAGCGUAAUAAUUUUGGAAAGAUCAAAUUGAAAAAAUUGUUUGCGACCUCGAUGUUGAAUUAAAAUGAAUUAUAAAUGUAGGCGUUUAUAAAUUUAGUCUGUUCGACUAUGAAAAUUUUACAUGAUUUGAGUUCAGAUCGACGUGAGUCAGAUUGGUUUCUAUCUUUAAAAAAAAUUGAAAUUUUUGUACGAAAGGACU